GCGGACGGGUGAGUAAUGCUUGGGAAUCUGGCUUAUGGAGGGGGAUAACUGUGGGAAACUGCAGCUAAUACCGCGUAUUAUCGGAAGAUGAAAGGGUGGGACCUUCGGGCCACCUGCCAUAAGAUGAGCCCAAGUGGGAUUAGGUAGUUGGUGGGGUAAGGGCCUACCAAGCCGACGAUCUCUAGCUGGUCUGAGAGGAUGACCAGCCACACUGGGACUGAGACACGGCCCAGACUCCUACGGGAGGCAGCAGUGGGGAAUAUUGCGCAAUGGGGGGAACCCUGACGCAGCCAUGCCGCGUGAAUGAAGAAGGCCUUCGGGUUGUAAAGUUCUUUCGGUAAUGAGGAAGGGGUAUUAUUGAAUAGAUAAUAUCAUUGACGUUAAUUACAGAAGAAGCACCGGCUAACUCCGUGCCAGCAGCCGCGGUAAUACGGAGGGUGCGAGCGUUAAUCGGAAUAACUGGGCGUAAAGGGCACGCAGGCGGACUUUUAAGUGAGAUGUGAAAUCCCCGAGCUUAACUU
rnacentral:rRNA from 1 species